rnacentral:rRNA from 1 species
GAUGAACGCUGGCGGCGUGCCUAAUACAUGCAAGUCGAACGAACAGACGAUGAGCUUGCUCCUCUCACGUUAGCGGCGCACGGGUGAGUAACACGUGUAUAACCUACCUAUAAUACGGGUAUAACUUCGGGAAACCGGAUCUAAUACCGUAGAAUAUAUUGAACCGCAUGGUUCAAUGGUGAAAUACGCUGUUGCUGUCACUUAUAGAUGUUUCCGCGCGGCAGUAGCUAGUUGGUAAGGUAACGGCUUACCAAGGCAACGAUGCUGAGCCGAACUGUGAGAGGGAUAGCCCACCCGGGAGGUUAGCCACGGACCAGGCUCCUACGGGAGGCAGCAGUCGCCAACCUUCGGCAGCGGGGGAGAGCAUGGCGCAACAACGCGAAGCGAGAGAUGAAAGCGCUCCGAGCGUAAAACUCUGUUAUUAGGGAAGAACAAAUGUCUCCGUAACUAUGCACGUCUUGACGGUAACUAAUCAGAAAGCACCGGCUAACUACGUG